rnacentral:rRNA from 1 species
CGGAGUCUAGCAUGUGCGCAAGUCAUUGGGAAAACACCUAAAGGCGCAAUGAAAGUGCAGGUCUGUCUUUGUACACCAAGGGAAGAUAGGCAAUUGCCUCGCAUUCCCGGGGCGUCUCAUUCUCAUUGCGAGAAGAGGCGCACCAAGAGCGUACACGCUAGGACCCGAAAGAUGGUGAACUAUGCCUGGUCAGGACGAAGUCAGGGGAAACCCUGAUGGAGGUCCGUAGCGAUUCUGACGUGCAAAUCGAUCGUCGGAACUGGGUAUAGGGGCGAAAGACUAAUCGAACCAUCUAGUAGCUGGUUCCCUCCGAAGUUUCCCUCAGGAUAGCUGGCGCUCGUUGCGUACGAGUUUCAUCCGGUAAAGCGAAUGAUUAGAGGCAUUGGGGUCGAAACGGCCUCAACCUAUUCUCAAACUUUAAAUGGGUGAGACCUCCGGCUUGCUCAAGUCGAAUCAGAGUGCCAAGUGGGCCAUUUUUGGUAAGCAGAACUGGCGCUGUGGGAUGAACCAAACGCUGAGUUAAAGCGCCCAAAUCGAAGCUUAUGGGAUACCAUGAAAGGCGUUGGUAACUUAAGACAUCAGGACGGUGGCCAUGGAAGUC